rnacentral:rRNA from 1 species
UACACUCCUGCGGGAGGCAGCAGUGGGGAAUAUUGGACAAUGGGCGCAAGCCUGAUCCAGCCAUGCCGCGUGAGUGAUGAAGGCCCUAGGGUUGUAAAGCUCUUUCACCGGUGAAGAUAAUGACGGUAACCGGAGAAGAAGCCCCGGCUAACUUCGUGCCAGCAGCCGCGGUAAUACGAAGGGGGCUAGCGUUGUUCGGAUUUACUGGGCGUAAAGCGCACGUAGGCGGACUAUUAAGUCAGGGGUGAAAUCCCGGGGCUCAACCCCGGAACUGCCUUUGAUACUGGUAGUCUUGAGUUCGAGAGAGGUGAGUGGAAUUCCGAGUGUAGAGGUGAAAUUCGUAGAUAUUCGGAGGAACACCAGUGGCGAAGGCGGCUCACUGGCUCGAUACUGACGCUGAGGUGCGAAAGCGUGGGGAGCAAACAGGAUUAGAUACCCCGGUAGUCCCAU